rnacentral:rRNA from 1 species
AUCAACUUUCGAUUGGUAGGAUAGAGGCCUACCAUGGUGGUAACGGGUAACGGGGUGUUAGGGCACGACACCGGAGAGGGAGCCUGAGAAACGGCUACCACAUCCAAGGAUGGCAGCAGGCGCGCAAAUUACCCAAUCCCGACACGGGGAGGUAGUGACAAUAAAUAACAAUACGGGGUUCUUUCGGAUCUCGUAAUUGGAAUGAGUACAAUUUAAAUCUCUUAACGAGGAACAAUUGGAGGGCAAGUCUGGUGCCAGCAGCCGCGGUAAUUCCAGCUCCAAUAGCGUAUAUUAAAGUUGUUGCAGUUAAAAAGCUCGUAGUUGAAUUUCGGGGUUAGUAGGUUGGUCAUGCCUCUGGUAUGUACUGGUCUCACUGAUUCCUCCUUCCUUAUGAACCGUAAUGCCAUUAAUUUGGUGUUGCGGGGAAUUUGGACUGUUACUUUGAAAAGAUUAGAGUGUUUAAAGCAGGCUAACGCUUGAAUACAUUAGCAUGGAAUAAUGAAAUAGGACGUUCGAUCUUAUUUUGUUGGUUUCUAGGAUUGACGUAAUGAUUAAUAGGGAUAGUUGGGGGCAUUAGUAUUCAAUUGUCAGAGGUGAAAUUCUUGGAUUUAUUGAAGACUAACUACUGCGAAAGCAUUUGCCAAGGAUGUUUUCAUUAAUCAAGAACGAAAGUUAGGGGAUCGAAGACGAUCAGAUACCGUCGUAGUCUUAACCAUAAACUAUGCCGACUAGGGAUCGGAUGAUGUUAAUUUUUUAAUGACUCAUUCGGCGCCUUACGGGAAACCAAAGUGUUUGGGUUC